rnacentral:rRNA from 1 species
CCUACGGGUGGCUGCAGUGAGGAAUAUUGGUCAAUGGGCGCGAGCCUGAACCAGCCAAGUAGCGUGAAGGAUGACUGCCCUACGGGUUGUAAACUUCUUUUAUAAAGGAAUAAAGUGAGGCACGUGUGCCUUUUUGUAUGUACCAUAUGAAUAAGGAUCGGCUAACUCCGUGCCAGCAGCCGCGGUAAUACGGAGGAUCCGAGCGUUAUCCGGAUUUAUUGGGUUUAAAGGGAGCGUAGGUGGAUUGUUAAGUCAGUUGUGAAAGUUUGCGGCUCAAACGUAAAAUUGCAGUUGAAACUGGCAGUCUUGAGUACAGUAGAGGUGGGUGGAAUUCGUGGUGUAGCGGUGAAAUGCGUAGAUAUCACGAAGAACUCCGAUUGCGAAGGCAGCUCACUAGACUGCAACUGACACUGAGGCUCGAAAGUGUGGGUAUCAAACAGGAUUAGAUACCCUAGUAGUC